rnacentral:rRNA from 1 species
UAUUGGACAAUGGGCGAAAGCCUGAUCCAGCCAUGCCGCGUGUGUGAAGAAGGCCUUAGGGUUGUAAAGCACUUUCAGUGGGGAGAAAGGCUGUUUGCUUAAUACGUAAGCAGAUUGAUGUUGCCCACAGAAGAAGCACCGGCUAACUCCGUGCCAGCAGCCGCGGUAAUACGGAGGGUGCAAGCGUUAAUCGGAAUUACUGGGCGUAAAGCGCACGUAGGUGGUUUGGUAAGCUAGCCGUGAAAUCCCCGGGCUCCACCUGGGAAUUGCGGUUAGAACUGCCAAGCUAGAGUAGGGUAGAGGGGUGUGGAAUUCCAGGUGUAGCGGUGAAAUGCGUAGAUAUCUCGAGGAACAUCAGUGGCGAAGGCGACACCCUGGACUCAUACUGACACUGAGGUGCGAAAGCGUGGGGAGCAAACA